CCGACAUGGACAUCCAGAGAGUUGCUCUCCUGGCUCUGUCCUGGUGGCGUAUGGGAGCGUAGCUCUGAGCUGAGACGUACAGUCCCGUUCCACAAUGUCGGACAGAAAGCUCUGUCCCCGGCUGCCGGCCGGUGAGGAUGAGCGUCCUGCAUAUUCCUACAUCUUCCCAGAGUCCUUUGGGGCCAUUACUGGGGAGCUAAACCAUGCAGUGCACAUCU
rnacentral:snoRNA from 1 species